rnacentral:snoRNA from 13 species
CUUCGCUGAUGACUCCCUGUUCGUGCCGUCGUGUCUGGGCCACUGAGACCUGGUGAUGGAGAUGAGGAUCUGAGGAAG